rnacentral:rRNA from 1 species
GAUGAACGCUGGCGGCGUGCCUAAUACAUGCAAGUCGAACGCAUAGCGAAAGGUGCUUGCACCUUUCAAGUGAGUGGCGAACGGGUGAGUAACACGUGGACAACCUGCCUCAAGGCUGGGGAUAACAUUUGGAAACAGAUGCUAAUACCGAAUAAAACUUAGUGUCGCAUGACACAAAGUUAAAAGGCGCUUCGGCGUCACCUAGAGAUGGAUCCGCGGUGCAUUAGUUAGUUGGUGGGGUAAAGGCCUACCAAGACAAUGGUGCAUAGCCGAGUUGAGAGACUGAUCGGCCACAUUGGGACUGAGACACGGCCCAAACUCCUACGGGAGGCUGCAGUAGGGAAUCUUCCACAAUGGGCGAAAGCCUGAUGGAGCAACGCCGCGUGUGUGAUGAAGGCUUUCGGGUCGUAAAGCACUGUUGUAUGGGAAGAACAGCUAGAAUAGGAAAUGAUUUUAGUUUGACGGUACCAUACCAGAAAGGGACGGCUAAAUACGUG